rnacentral:rRNA from 1 species
UGAACGCUAGCGGCAGGCCUAAUACAUGCAAGUCGGCCGGGAUUCAGGAGCUUGCUUCUGAUGAGAGUGGCGCACGGGUGCGUAACACGUAUGUAACCUACCUUUAUCAGGGGGAUAGCCUCUCGAAAGAGAGAUUAAGCCCGCAUAAAAUCACAGCACAGCAUUGUGUAAUGAUCAAAUAUUUAUAGGAUAAAGAUGGGCAUGCGGAACAUUAGCUAGAUGGCGGGGUAACGGCCCACCAUGGCGACGAUGUUUAGGGGAUCUGAGAGGAUGGCCCCCCACACUGGUACUGAGACACGGACCAGACUCCUACGGGAGGCAGCAGUAAGGAAUAUUGGUCAAUGGGCGGAAGCCUGAACCAGCCAUGCCGCGUGCAGGAAGACGGCCCUACGGGUUGUAAACUGCUUUUAUACGGGAAUAAACCCAGAUACGUGUAUCUGGCUGAAUGUACUGUAAGAAUAAGGAUCGGCUAACUCCGUG